rnacentral:rRNA from 1 species
UACGAAGGUGGCAAGCGUUGUUCGGAUUCACUGGGCGUACAGGGUGUGUAGGCGGUCGAGUAAGUCGGGUGUGAAAGCCCAGGGCUCAACCCUGGAAGUGCACUCGAUACUGCCCGGCUAGAGUACUGGAGAAGUUGGUGGAAUUCUCGGUGUAGAGGUGAAAUUCGUAGAUAUCGAGAGGAACACCGGUGGCGAAGGCGGCCAACUGGACAGAUACUGACGCUGAGACACGAAAGCGUGGGGAGCAAACAGG